UACGGAGGAUCCAAGCGUUAUCCGGAAUCAUUGGGUUUAAAGGGUCCGUAGGCGGUUUAGUAAGUCAGUGGUGAAAGCCCAUCGCUCAACGGUGGAACGGCCAUUGAUACUGCUAGACUUGAAUUAUUAGGAAGUAACUAGAAUAUGUAGUGUAGCGGUGAAAUGCUUAGAGAUUACAUGGAAUACCAAUUGCGAAGGCAGGUUACUAACAAUAUAUUGACGCUGAUGGACGAAAGCGUGGGGAGCGAACAGG
rnacentral:rRNA from 1 species